CUCAUAUCUACCUUUAAUUGAAGCUCUCUCUUGCUUUUCUUUUCUUCCCCACCCAUCAUUUUGGCAGCUAGAUCCACUCAUGGGUUUUCAAUUAUUUGAUGAACAAAACAAGAUCAUCCACUCGCCUACCCAUAACAUGCUUGCCAUUCUCAUCUUUUUGUUGGCUGAUUUAAAUUAGCAUUCAAUAUAUGUACUCAUUUUGAUGGGUGCCCAAUUGUUUGCUCACUGACAUUGCUGUUUAAAUAUGUGUGUUCUUGCAGUUCCUUUUGUAUGCUUACAAGCUGUUUGUUAAAAUGCCCAAGUGACAAGAACUGGAGGAGGCCAAUGUGAAUUAGCCUUAUUCAACAGGCACAGUUGGAGGUAGGAAGAGCGAGCCAUGUGGGAGAGGCAGGGUACAUCCAGCAAGAAAGGGGAUGCUUUUAGAUGUUGCAGAAGCCUCCUUGACACUGAACUGAAGUGCUUCUGUCUUUGAACAAUCCUUACCUGCUUCACCAUCCUCAUUUUCAUGCUUCCUUCCACCACCAUUUGAAUCAAAUCUACCACUUCUAGUAUUCAACGACAACACGCCCUGCAUCCUGCAUUGGACUCUUUGAUGGCUCUAGCAUUUGCAUAAGAUCCUUCGGAGUUCCAACGAAAGGUUGUCGUCCAGGAACCGGUCGGAUCCCAACAAGAACAGGAACAGGAGUUCCAGCUUCCAUUUUAUCAACAUAGAAG